UGCCAGCCGCCGCGGUAAUACAGAGGGUGCAAGCGUUAAUCGGAAUUACUGGGCGUAAAGGGCCUGUAGGUGGUUGAUUAAGUCGGAUGUGAAAGGCCUGGGCUUAACCUGGGUAUGUCAUCCGAGACUGGUUAACUAGAGUUGAGUAGAGGAAAGUGGAAUUUCCGGUGUAGCGGUGAAAUGCGUAGAUAUCGGAAGGAACACCAGUGGCGAAGGCGGCUACCUGGUCCGAUACUGACGCUGAGGUGCGAAAGCGUGGGGAGCGAACAGGAUUAGAUA
rnacentral:rRNA from 1 species